rnacentral:rRNA from 1 species
GAUGAACGCUGGCGGCGUGCUUAACACAUGCAAGUCGAACGGGAUCGGCUGGAGCUUGCUCCGGCCGUGAGAGUGGCGAACGGGUGAGUAAUGCGUGACCGACCUGCCCCAUACACCGGAAUAGCUCCUGGAAACGGGUGGUAAUGCCGGAUGCUCCGACAUGACGCAUGUCGUGUCGGGAAAGAUUCAUCGGUAUGGGAUGGGGUCGCGUCCUAUCAGCUUGAUGGCGGGGUAACGGCCCACCAUGGCUUCGACGGGUAGCCGGCCUGAGAGGGCGACCGGCCACAUUGGGACUGAGAUACGGCCCAGACUCCUACGGGAGGCAGCAGUGGGGAAUAUUGCACAAUGGGCGCAAGCCUGAUGCAGCGACGCCGCGUGCGGGAUGACGGCCUUCGGGUUGUAAACCGCUUUUGACUGGGAGCAAGCCCU